GUGCUUGCUUUGGCAGUACAUAUACUAAAAGUGGAACAUACAGACAUUAGUACAGCCCCUGCCUGAGGAUGGCAAGCAAAUUCAAGAAGCAUUCCUAGUUUUA